GGAUUUGAGUCCUACAGGCUCAGCACUUAUGAAAAAGGAUAAAGUCCUUCCCAGCCUGGCAGGAGAAGGAAAAGCCUGUGGUGGGGGAAGGGAGUGAAGGCGUGUGCCUCCUCAUGGAACACAGGGUCGGAGUCGGCUAGGAGGGAUAAGAGUACAAUAGAGGGUUGUGUGACACAGACAGGCUGCCAGCCCUCAGCAUGGACCCGGCACAUGGAAUCUGUGAUCUUAAAAGAGUCAAGUGACUACCUUUGGCAACCAAAAGAGACACUGCCUUUUAGAAGGCAUAUCAUCUGAAACUGGCUGAAAGAGCUGUCUUACUUAGGAAGAAAAAUCUCUCCUUUGGAAAGAGCUGGAACUUUUAGUAAAACUGAACAGUGAGGUGGCGGAAGUAAAUAUGCUGAGGCAUGUUUUCAAGGAGGGGAGAGAGAUUCCUUUUCCUCAGCCGGGCACAGAGCCAACCUGAAGUGUAGCACUGUGGUGACCUGGCGGGAUCUGCUCUCCAGUCACUCCCGAGGGCCCUUCUGGGGACAAGGAGACUUUUCUGUGCGGCCUGUUGAUUUGAAUCGAGGCUAUCAAGCUACAGAUGAUCUUACAAAUGGAACCCCAAAUGAGCUCAACUAACAACUACCAAGGACCCCUGGACCAACCCGCUGGCCCUUUCAAUGGCCUAAAGAGUUCCCCUCUGGAGGACACUACAACUGCAGGGUCCUUUCUUUGCCCCUAUCCAGCAGGAAGUAGCUAGAGUGGUCAUCACCCAAUUCCCAACAGCAGUUGGGGUGUCUUGUUAAGUGGGGAGAUUGAGAGGUGAAGCCAGCUGGGCUUCUGGGUUGGGUGGGGACUUGGAGAACUUUUCUGUCUAGCUAGAGGAUUGUAAACACACCAAUCAGUGCUAUGUGUCUAGCUAGAGGUUUGUAAAUGCACCAAUCAGCACUCUGUAAAAACGGACCAAUCAGCACUCUGUAAAAUGGACCAAUCAGUAGGAUGCGGGCAGGGCCAAAUAAGGGAAUAAAAGCUGGCCACCUGAGUCAGCAGUGGCAACCCACUCGGGUCCCCUUCCAUGCUGUGGAAGCUUUGUUCUUUCACUCUUCACAAUAAAUCUUGCUGCUGCUCACUCUUUGGGUCCACACCACCUUUAUGAGCUGCAACACUCACUGCGAAGGUCUUCAGCUUCACUCCUGAAGUCAGCGAGACCACGAACCCAUGGGGAGGAACAAUCGACUUCAGACAUGCCACCUUUAAGAGCUGUAACACUCACUGCGAAGGUCUGUGGCUUCACUCCUGAAGUCAGCAAGACCACGAACCCACUGGAAGGAAGAAAUUUCGGACACAUCUGAACAUCUGAAUGAACAAACUCUGGACACGCCAUCUUUAAGAACUGUAACACUCACUGUGAGGGUUCAUGGGUUCAUUCUUGAAGUCAGCAAGACCAAGAACCCACCAGAAGGAACCAAUUCCGGACACAGACUCACUGCAACCUCCACCUCCUGGAUUCAAGUGAUUCUCCUGCCUCAGCCUCCGGAGUAGCUGUGCCUACAGGCACAAGCCACCACACACGGCUAAUUUUUUGUAUUUUUAGUAGAGAUGGGGUUUCACCAUGUUGCUCAGGCUGGUCUCCAACUCCUGAGCUCAAGUGAUCCACCUGUCUCGGCCUCCCAAAGUGUUGGGAUACAUGUGUGAGCCACUGUGCCCGGCCUCCUCUGGAUUAGUUCUUACAGGAAUAGAUUAGUUCUUGCUCGAGCAAGUUGUUAUAAAAGUGAGGUUGCCUCUAGUGUUUUGCAUCCUCACAUAUGUCUGCUUACCUCUUGACCUCUCUCUGUGUUAUGACCCAGCACAAAAGCCCUUACCAGAAGCCAAGCAGAUGCUGAUGCCACACCCCUUGGACUUCUCAGUCUACAGAGCCAUGAAACGAAUAAACCUCUCUUUAUAAAUUAUCCAGCUUCAGGUAUUCUGUUAUAGCAACACAAAAUGGAC
rnacentral:lncRNA from 10 species